rnacentral:rRNA from 1 species
UUACNCAUGCAAGUCGAACGGCAGCACGGGAGCAAUCCUGGUGGCGAGUGGCAAACGGGUGAGUAAUAUAUCGGAACGUGCCCAGUCGUGGGGGAUAACGCAGCGAAAGCUGUGCUAAUACCGCAUACGAUCUAUGGAUGAAAGCGGGGGACUCGCAAGAGCCUCGCGCGAUUGGAGCGGCCGAUAUCAGAUUAGCUUGUUGGUGGGGUAAAAGCCCACCAAGGCGACGAUCUGUAGCUGGUCUGAGAGGACGACCAGCCACACUGGAACUGAGACACGGUCCAGACUCCUACGGGAGGCAGCAGUGGGGAAUUUUGGACAAUGGGCGCAAGCCUGAUCCAGCAAUGCCGCGUGCAGGAUGAAGGCCUUCGGGUUGUAAACUGCUUUUGUACGGAACGAAACGGCUCUUUCUAAUAAAGAGGGCUAAUGACGGUACCGUAAGAAUAAGCACCGGCUAACUACGUGCCAGCAGCCGCGGUAAUACGUAGGGUGCGAGCGUUAAUCGGAAUUACUGGGCGUAAAGCGUGCGCAGGCGGUUAUAUAAGACAGAUGUGAAAUCCCCGGGCUCAACCUGGGACCUGCAUUUGUGACUGUAUAGCUAGAGUACGGUAGAGGGGGAUGGAAUUCCGCGUGUAGCAGUGAAAUGCGUAGAUAUGCGGAGGAACACCGAUGGCGAAGGCAAUCCCCUGGACCUGUACUGACGCUCAUGCACGAAAGCGUGGGGAGCAAACAGGAUCAGAUACCCUGGUAGUCCACGCCCUAAACGAUGUCAACUGGUUGUUGGGUCUUCACUGACUCAGUAACGAAGCUAACGCGUGAAGUUGACCGCCUGGGGAGUACGGCCGCANGUGAAACUCAAAGGA